UACGGAGGGGGCUAGCGUUGUCCGAAGUUACUGGGCGUAAAGAGCUCGUAGGUGGUUUGUCGCGUUGUUCGUGAAAACUCACAGCUUAACUGUGGGCGUGCGGGCGAUACGGGCAGACUGGAGUACUGCAGGGGGAGACUGGAAUUCCUGGUGUAGCGGUGGAAUGCGCAGAUAUCAGGAAGAACACCCGUGGCUAAGGCGGCUCUCUAGUACGGUACUGACGCUGAGACGCGAAAGCCGUGGGGAGCGAACAGG
rnacentral:rRNA from 1 species